AUUGAACGCUGGCGGCAUGCCUAACACAUGCAAGUCGAACGUGAAAGAGGGGCAACUCUCGAGUAAAGUGGCGGACGGGUGAGUAAUACGUAGGAAUCUGCCCUAGAGUGGGGGAUAACCUGCCGAAAGGCGGGCUAAUACCGCAUAAUCUCUACGGAGCAAAGGUGGCUAGCAAUAGCUUUCGCUUUAGGAUGAGCCUACGUCGGAUUAGCUAGUUGGUAGGGUAAUGGCCUACCAAGGCAACAAUCCGUAGCUGGUCUGAGAGGACGAUCAGCCACACUGGAACUGAGACACGGUCCAGACUCCUACGGGAGGCAGCAGUGGGGAAUAUUGGACAAUGGGGGAAACCCUGAUCCAGCAAUGCCGCGUGUGCGAUGAAGGCCUGCGGGUUGUAAAGCACUUUCGGUGGAGAAGAAAUGCUCAAAUAUAAUACAUUUGAGAGAUGACGUUACCCACAGAAGAAGCACCGGCAAACUCUGUGCCAGCCGCCGCCGUAA
rnacentral:rRNA from 1 species